UACGUAGGGUGCAAGCGUUAAUCGGAAUUACUGGGCGUAAAGCGCGCGUAGGCGGUUACUUAAGUCGGAUGUGAAAGCCCUCGGCUUAACUGAGGAAGUGCACCCGAAACUGAGUAGCUAGAGUACGAAAGAGGGUCGCGGAAUUCCCGGUGUAGAGGUGAAAUUCGUAGAUAUCGGGAGGAACACCGGUGGCGAAGGCGGCGACCUGGGUCGAGACUGACGCUGAGGCGCGAAAGCGUGGGGAGCAAACAGG
rnacentral:rRNA from 1 species